AAAUAAGUAAAUACAAUCUUAAAAAAAAAAGGAUAAAAGAAAAGAAAGCACUUUCAUCUGUACACCGUUUAAUGAAAAACUUCAGACAACCUCUCUUAAAAAUGGUUCUGGAAAUGAAGGCAGAUCCUCUGUUUCAGAAAUCAGUGCUGUUGUCAGGGUUUGGACGGGCAAGGGUCCAAUUACACUAGAGAACAAAGAUCUCUCCUCUUCCACCAUUAGCAGUUUGGAUUAGUUUAAAGCAAAAAACUCUCUACUCUCAGGAAAUAAUAACAAAGAAAGGAAUUGCAAUGAAUAUAAUAGUAUAAGAAUAAAGGCCAACAUGCGUUUAGUGCUUACUCCGUGCCAGGCAUAUGUUAACUCAUUGGACACUCCUAGAAUCAUAGGAGGGGUGUUCUGGAAUCUUCCCUGUGUCACAGCUGGGAGACAGAGUCACCGAGAAGUUCCUUGUGCAGGACUUGAACCCGUGCGUCUGGUCCAGGGCCCAUUCAUAAUCACCAUGCUGUGCUGUUGACAGAGAAGCUAAGGUUACACGCCAGCGUCCACUAAGCUGCAGCCCAUAGCUGGAGUAAACAGUGCUCCAGAUGGCUGUGGCCUUGAGAUGAAAUGUAGGACACCUCCCAGCUCUCAUUCCACAGGCACGGGAGUUGGAGGACACGGUUGCCCCCGGUGGCCAUUGAGGCAGCUCUUGCUGCAGAAAAGUAAAGGGAGCGGAAGGGACUGGAGUAAAGAUGUUUCCAAACCAGAGUCCCAGGCCCCAAACGCCUUCUGGGGAGAGAAAGGCCCCUCUGGAUUCCCAGAUAUUACAAAAAAUGGGCCAGGAUGUCUAGCGCUGCAGACCUUUGCCAGAAAAUGGACAAGAAGCUAGGAAAGAGGCUGAAAAAGACUUCCCAAAGCAGAAGGCUCCUCAUUUCUGCUCCUAGUACCCCUGACAGGAUGGCCCUCCCCACCCGAAACAGAGCCUAGGCAAGCCGGGAGCUCUCCCCAGUCCUGGUCCUGGUCCCCCUGUCUCCCUAACCCCCCCCACCACUCCCCGCCUGAAGAGCGAGGGCCUUUGAAGGGGGAUCCUGGUGUGCGUUCCCGGAGAAGGACCACUGGCUUAGUGGAGAAACUGUCCUUGCAACAGUUUACGAGGAUUUGCACUCUCUCGUUGGCUGUUUGCUUUUAUUCUCUGUUGGUUUUGCUAAAGAGUUAAAAUAUUAAGAUUUCAUAAAAUUAGUAAGAGUAUCAAAAGCCAAGCAUUGGAGUAGCAUCAUUCUGUCCAGAAGAACUGUAAAUAGGUUGCGUUAGAGCCGAAAAGAACUGCCUUCAGCAGGCAGCUGUGGCGGGGACCAUGUGGCCAGACGUCCGACAGCCUCCGGACCGCAAGGCUAGAUUCUCAGUCCGUUUGGAGUUGUGUGAUCCUGGACACCGUUUCGUGCCUUGGACUGAGAAAUCAGACUUUCCAUGAGCUUAUAUUUCAAGUGAAUAAAUAGCUCUGGUGAGGCUUAGUUUGAAGAAGAAAUCAAGUUUGGCUCAUGGCUGAGGGCUCCUCGGAAAGCCAGCUGGAGGGAGGCAGCGGCAGCUGGUCAAUUCCCAGGCGGUUACCUGACCAGGUGACCCGCCCCCGACGUCUCAGGGCCUCGGAAAUGAGGGGCUGGGGCCAGAUGAUCUCUGCGGUCCCUUCUAGCUGGAGUGGUCUGUGAGUUUUGUAAGAAAACUAGUCUGAAAAUUGUGGUCCUUUCAUCCCCAUUUUAAAGGCUGGGCUGAGUUCUUUUCUUAAACUAUUGAUGAGUAAAGCUGGGGUUGGCAUAGGCCCAUCUGGUGUGUGGCCCAUCUUGGGCCUGGAUCCCUAGUACUUCAGCUUUUUCUGGCUGUGGAAAACCCCUGGGUGACCACUGUGGUGGCAGGCCCACCCUCCAAGACAGGAGCGCCAGCAAACCUGGUGCUUCUUGCUGCUUCCUGGGGGCUCUGAGGCUGAGGGGCACGGGUCCCUGGGGUGAGACCCCUCCUCAGUCAUUUCAUCUUUCCUUCCCACCUUCUCUGCCAUAGGAGGGAAGGAAGGAAAAAAGAAAGAAAAAGAGAAAGGAAGGAGGGAAGGAAGAAGGAAAGAAAAAGAAAACUGAUAGUAGCAGAGAACCUGAGGAGUGGAGCUAUUCUAAAUGCUUUUGGCAAGACUCCCAGAGGCGGUAGGGAAGAUGGUGUGACCCCGUGCUGCUGGGUGACGUGUGUCUAGAGCCACUGACAAACACCAGCUAGUACAAUAUGGCACAGGGCAGAGAUGAGUGACAGAGACGGGGCGUGUCGCUCGCGGUAGUCAGAGCCCAGAGUUUAGCUCUUGGAAUCAGUGACCUAAGUUCUGUUUCUAAGUGUACUCAGAGCCUUUAUGGAACCCCUACUAUGUACUCAGAAGGCCCGGAUGUAGGGAGUCAGAGGGAGCCCAUGGUUUUCAGGAGCUUGUCGUAGGUCACGCGAUACCCGGCUGAAGGCAUCAGAUCUCCAUUUUCUAAGUGUGGGACUUCUUGAGUGCGACUUAAUCUCCAUAAGCCUCUGUUUCCCCAUCAGUGAAAUCAUAAUAAAAACACGAGGACUUACGUGCAUUAUCUCCUGGGGUUGUAGGAGGGUGGAAACUCUUAGAUGAAGGGUUUGGGGGUGUAUGUGAUGUAUUGCUAGAACCCAGUCAGUAUUAGCUGUCCUCAUAGUAACUGCCAUCACCACUGAGGCAUCCCACCAGGCUUCGGCUCAGUGGGGGAAGUGCUAGAAUGAUCGUGCCCCCCUCCCCACCGGGAGUAGGGUUGGGGAUGGGUUAGAGAAGGCCUGGCAGAGAAGGAAGGUUAGGUAACGGACGUGUGUCCUGCGGGCUGACUUAGAAGUUGCCAGUAAAUAUGUUUAGAGAGUUUCUCCAGGCCCAGGGACUCAGACACCACUUUGCCCGUCACUCCCUGAAACCCCUGGUCCUUGCUGAGAUAUCAUUGACAAGUGUGUGACUUCUCUAGAAAGAAGAGCUGGAACACCUGGGAUUUAACAGGUGUGAACCUGUUAACCCUCCGUGGGGUCUGUGAUGCUCAGGGGAUAGCAGUAGACAGCGUGGAGGCCCCCAGACCUUCUUGAAUAAUCCUUGGUUUGCUUUCCAUGUUUUAGGAGCUCCUCCCAUGGAAAGAAUGGUCACAUCUUAAGGGGGGAGAAAAGCCUAGGAGCCUGUGGGUACCCUGUGAUUUGAGAUUCCUGGGACAAAACUGUCAACUAAGCACAUUAAACAGCCCUCCAUGGCCUCAUGUGACAGCAGCUGGUCCCUCACCAGGGGCCAAGCCUGUCUCCUUGGGCUCAGGAUGGUUUCGGGGCGCAUGUUGUUGUGGCUGGAAUUUUUGAUAAUUUUCAAACUUGAGUAAGUCCUGUCUAAAUGAGUCAGAGCCUUGUGCAAGAUCUUCAAGCCUCAGGAAACUUCUUUUUCAUGAGUUAUGCAAUCAGAUCUUGCAAAGAGGACGG